rnacentral:rRNA from 1 species
UACAGAGGGUGCAAGCGUUAAUCGGAAUUACUGGGCGUAAAGCGUGCGUAGACGGUUAUGUAAGUCGGGUGUGAAAGCCCCGGGCUCAACCUGGGAAUUGCAUUCGAGACUGCAUAGCUAGGGUGCGGAAGAGGGAAGCGGAAUUUCCGGUGUAGCGGUGAAAUGCGUAGAUAUCGGAAGGAACACCAGUGGCGAAAGCGGCUUCCUGGUCCAGCACCGACGUUCAGGCACGAAAGCGUGGGGAGCGAACAGG